rnacentral:rRNA from 1 species
GACGAACGCUGGCGGCGUGCUUAACACAUGCAAGUCGAACGGAAAGGCCCUGCUUUUGUGGGGUGCUCGAGUGGCGAACGGGUGAGUAACACGUGAGUAACCUGCCCUUGACUGUGGGAUAACUUCAGGAAACUGGGGCUAAUACCGGAUAGGAGCUCCUGCUGCAUGGUGGGGGUUGGAAAGUUUCGGCGGUUGGGGAUGGACUCGCGGCUUAUCAGCUGGUUGGUGGGGUAGUGGCUUACCAAGGCUUUGACGGGUAGCCGGCCUGAGAGGGUGACCGGCCACAUUGGGACUGAGAUACGGCGCAGACUCCUACGGGAGGCAGCAGUGGGGAAUAUUGCACAGUGGGCGGAAGCGUGAUGCAGCAGCGCCGCGUGCGGGAUGACGGCCUUCGGGUUGUAAACCGCUUUCGCCUGUGACGAAGCGUGAGUGACGGUAAUGGGUAAAGAAGCACCGGCUAACUACGUG